rnacentral:lncRNA from 1 species
CCGAGAGUUUAUUGGCAGUCUUCUCCCGAUUUUUUGGAAUUUUUCUUCUCCUUCUCUCUCUCCCCCUUUUUUCUUCUUUCUUCUUUUCUUUCUUUUUUUUUUUUUGACCUCUCCCCCUUGUCUUCUUGUUGUAGGUAUGGAUGCGGAAGGUGCGGAAGCCGUACAACCACUGGUCGGGGGCCUCAAGGCCUACAAGAGAAAAGGUGCUGCAACCACCGGGCCGGUGAAGAAGAUCAGAAUGGGAGAGGUGAGCUCGG